GGUCGUUUCUCUUCGGGCCCAACACGAGCCCAAAAGCUUCCCAUCUUCUCCCAGAAGAUUAGCGGCGGGGGAGGCGGCGGCGACCGGCGGCGACAGGGUGGCCGGAUUUGCGGUCCCGUCUCCCUCUCCUGGGCUUCCGCCACCACCCGCGGGCGCUUCUCCUCCACCGGGAAGCCUGCCGUCGCGCGACGGCGACUCCCUUCGACUGUUCGACGCAAUGCCAGGGCAGGCCUGGUGGAGCGGAGGCGGAGCCGCUUCUUCGCUGCUUGAGGCGAGGCGUUCAGGGUGUUCGGCGAAAUGCUCGAGAGUCGCUUGUCCAGUCCUGGUCGGUGGCGACUUCGGCCGUCGAAGAUCUCGUGGGCGGCGACUGUGCUUCCGCUUCGUGAGCUUCUGAAGGACGCAUACCUUUUGAUACUACAUGCAAAGCAUCAUUCCGAGAGGUGCAUAUAAUUUAGAGCAAUCAUCGGCAUCGUGGUCAUGGUGUGUACAUGCUCUGGAAAACAACAUAGCACGACUGGUGGGUGAUUGGGUGGGUAAUCUGGUGCUCUCUUCUUCAAUUCUUCUUCCUGUUGACCCAAGGGCCAAGGCGUUUACUUUCUGUUAUCAAGCGUGCGUUCCGGCUUAUUUGCUCCACACGCUUGCAGUUGUUUUCCAUUCUCCCGGCUCCACUGGUGUAUCUUUGUAGACCAUGGAUUAUGACUCUUGUGUCUAUCUCUGAAUUUUGGAAGUGCUUGAAGACUUGAAGUAAGCUGCGUAGCGUGUGAGGGCUGCAGGCUGCCAGUGGGAGCUGGCUUAUCAUUUGGGACACCACAGGGGAGACUGGUUCUUGUGUAGACAUGGUCUAUGGACUAUGGAACGGACUGAAGCCACACAGAUCUUCAGGUGCAGCACAAACUGGAGAAAUCCUUCGGCCAGAACAGAAACAGCAUAGGGAACACAAGAUGAUUACAGAAGAUCGGCUGCACAAAGACCAAUUCUAGAAACAGCAUAGAGGCCAUUUCCAGUUCAGACGACUGUAGUGCUGUACUGCUGUGCUGCACGUCGUACACGUCGAAGUCUGAAGAGGAUUGCUGCACUGCAGAUCAAUCAAUGAUUUUCCAAUUUUCGUCAAAACAAGAAACCAAUGAUUUUCCAGGCUCAUGGACACGGUCUACCCAGGCACCCAUCCGUAGACGUGCAAAAUUAUGAAAAACUGAUGGCGAUCUGGCGAUGAAUGAAUGAAUGAUUCGGACCGCCGCUACGUUGUUGCUGCCGACGCGUUCGUUGGCCGUGUGUCCGUGUCUCGGUCUGCAGUCUUCAGUGUCUCAGUCCGAUCGGAAUGAAAUGGAAUGGAGGAGAUGGCGGUGUGAACUGUCCUUGGUAGUGGAGUUGUGGAUUGGCUCGUAUACGACAAAUGUAUUUGGAUAUUUGGCACUUGUUAUCGCUGGAAAAAAUAUAGUCAAGUCGUGUACGAGGAAAACUGCAUGCUACUACCAUACAUACGAAGGAUAUCAAGUUCUUGACAUUUUGAUAUGGAGCAUAGCAAAACUGUUCUAGUUCUCGUUUGAAAUGCGAGAAUGUGUUCACAAAAGGCUGAUUCAUUUUAUUUAAAAUUCACGCAAUAUUCCUCUGUUCGAAGGAAAGGUCUUGUUGUGUUUUUCUUUUUCUUUUUUUUUCUUUUCUAGUGCAGGCUGAUCUGCUGUGCUGAGUGCAGACCGUGGCAGAAGUGAUUUACUUUUCCUUGUAUAAGGGGGUGUUUAAAUCCGGGGUGUAAAGUUUUAGCGUGUCACAUCGAAUAUUAUAUAAGGUAUCGCAUGUGGCAGAGUUUACAUUACCGGUUGACCACUAAAUUUCGAACCCCAUCGGUAUCACCGUUUUCGAUAAAUUUUGAUCGGUUUUUGAU
rnacentral:antisense_RNA from 1 species